AAGAAAGUGGAAAUUUCUGGUUUCUCUAGAGACUCAAUUGUGUCAUGUGAUGUUUGUCUGGAAACUGUCUUAUUAGAGGAUGCUUUGUUGAGAACAGACAUGCGGUGUUUUCCAGAAAGCUGCCUGGUGAGAGGGCACGUGAUGUUUUGCUGGAUGCUUGAGAGAGCAUGUGAUGUUUGGAAAGGGUGAAAUAUAACCCAACAGACAGUGGACCACUCUCUGGCAUUGGCUCACCUUGAUGGUCUUGACUGGACUUUGCUGACUUUGGUCUUCACUGACGACACUCUGGCAUUGGUUUGCCUUGCUUUCUUCUCAGAUUUUUUGCUUGUCAUAACUUCGUAGAGAAAAACACACCAAAAACCUUCUGGUGGUGUUCUGGCUGCUUCUUGCUGCUGUGGCAGACAUAUGCUGAUCCGUGGAGCCUCUCUGUUACUUCUGGAUCAAGCUGCUGCAGCUUAUUUGAGUUUUGUGGUUUGCUAGUGGACUGGAUUGCUGACAACAAAGAUUGGAAUCACCUCCAAAAACUACUUCUAAAUAGGUCCACACUUCCCUGUCCUCUUAGACAUCUUCCUCCCCUACCCUUGGCUGGUAGGCUAUGAGGCAGAUUGGAGAGUUUAAGAAUCUUUAUUAAAGGAGAUUUUAAAAUAUGAGUCUAUAGAGGAGGAGCAAGAGGAGGAAGAAAAGGAAAAGGAGAAACAGAAAGAAGGAGAAAAGAGAGAGGGGGGAAGAAAGUGUACCUUUAUUUUUAAACCUAUUUUUAAUGAUGAUUCUCAAAUGCUUUAACCCCCCCCCCUUUUAGCCUACCACCCACCAGAGGUAGUGGAAAAGAAAUGAUAUGGGGGACGUAGACCUGUUUGGGAAGGAUCUUUAGAGGCACUCCAGUCUGUGUUGUUUGGAAAUCAGCAAUUUAGUUCAUACGUCAACAGCAGCAGCUCAGUCCACUUGCAAACACUUCACAGAUACACCAGUAUUCCAGAUUGACUGAGUCAGGACAGCAAACACGAAUCAGCAGUGGUGGCAUGACCUAGCAGAGACAGCCAGGCCUCAGCCUCUGCACAAGUCAACAGGAAGGACCAGCAGGAACGCCAGGAGAAGUUCUUGGCUGUGCCUCUGUCAGCGAAGUGAAGAUCAGCAAAGACGUGAGACCCACGAGUGUUGCACAGCCAGCUCUAUAAGCAAGCCUAGCUCAACCUCCAUCACUGUCCCUCAAGUCCGUUUAAUAUGCUCUCUAAACAUCAUGUGCCCUCCACGGGUCUUGCCUCAGCAUGUGUCUUGCCUCAACACGCACAUCUGUCUCAGCUGACAUCACUCUGUCAAUCAGCCCAAGUCCACAAAAGCGACAAAAAAGCAGUCACACACACACACCUUCAGAAGGUUUUGUUUGUUUGUUUGUUUGUUUGCUUGCUUGCUUGUUUUUUGGUGUGUUUCUCUCUAUGGAAUCCUGACAAAAAGAGCUCAACUAUGCAGUGUAAGGAACGAAGAUGCUUGCCCUAGCAAAACACCUUCCAAUACAGCUGACUUAACCAAAGAACCCUUAAGUUUCCACUUCAGGAAGGAUGAGAGGGGAGAAGGAAAGGAGAAGGAAGGAAGGAAGGAAGGAAGAAAGGAAGAAAGGAAGGAAGGAAGGAAGGAAGGAAGGAAGGAAGGAAGGAAAGAAAGAAAGAAAGAAAGAAAGAAAAGAAAGAGAGAGAGAGAAAGAAAGAAAGAAAGAAAGAAGAAAGGAAGGAAAGGAAGGAAGGAAGGAAGGAAGGAAGGAAGGAAGGAAGGAAGAAAGAAAGAAAGAAAGAAAGAAAAAAAGAAAGAAAGAAAGAAAGGUUAAAUGCUCAUCACAGCUUCUCUUUGGGUACCCUUCUGCCUGCUCUUGAUCCUGAAGAGGCUACGAUGCUCAGUCCAUAGCUUGGAUAGACCCCUUAGUUAACGUGUCUAUACUGCCCUAUUCCUUGGGCAGACCCUGUGAGGCAGAUAUAUGGGGAGGAAACCUCUUUUCUGCUGUCAUUCAUUAACACCUGUGUCUAAAGAUAACAUGAUUAAUCCCUAAAAAUAGAGUCCAGAAGAUUUGGCUCUGUAAUUGGUUGAAGGGCCCCAGGAUGGCAGGAGGCAGCUCUGGGGAAGCUCAGGAAAGAUGGGGUCCAGACAGCUAUCUGGGGUCAAAGACCAGCUUAACUUCUGCUACUCCUCUUUCCCUAGGUAGAGGGGCUGCUCUUUGUUCCCUUAUCUCUGGGAGCCAGUGACAGUCCGUCCUCUAAGGCUGCUGAUCACAUGGUAUGUUAUCAGUCUUGCCUGUCAUCGCCAGGGCUGUGGGGCUGUUGAUGUCUGAUGAACAGCACCUGAGCGCCAAAGGGACCCUGUUCAUGGUCUUAUCUCAGACCUCUGUAUCCUGCCUGAGUUCUAUGUUCUGGUCCCUUUGGGGCAGUCACUGAACCCACAACUUUCUCAGAGGCACCUAGAUAAGGCACUGUCUGGACCCUGAAGCUCUGAAGUCGGUGUCUGGGGGAGGGGCAGUGACCAACUGGCAUCUCUGAUCCAGGCCGUUGUCUGGUGGGGCACUGCGGCUGCUCUGGCCACAUGAAAGGCAGAGAACUCGGAUUCAAUAUUCCCGGUUUCAACACUCAGAGCCUUGGCAUUCCAUGCCUUUCCAUUGUAAAUUGUUAUCUCCUCCAGCUGAGGGAAACAUAGGUCAGAACCAAGGACAGCGCUCUGCGAGGCUUUUCCAAGAAGGGAACAAAUAGAGGGAACGCUGGAGGGAAAGAGAAAGAAGAGUUAGGUAAAGGAGCUGGGGGGGGGGGGGGGGGAGGGAGCAGUGAGGGAAGGGACAAAGAGUAGCCCCAAAAGCCCAGUGAUGGUGAGACGUUUCUGAGUCUCUACAUUCUGCUUUCCCAGUAGUUGAAGAAAAGACAGCUCAGCUAAGGAGAGACUAAAGAAAUUGCAGGCACUUAGACUCAAAAGACAGAUUCACACCUUGAAUGAAAAGUCAAAAAUAGCUCUCUGAGAAAUAAAAGAACGGCAGAAAAAGGUUUUUUUUUUUUUUUUAAAAAAAAAAGUAGAGAAAGAUUUGUUAGCUGCAGUGGGCAAGGAGAACAGAGUUGUUUCCAAAAUAGCCCCCCCCCCCAGCCCCCAUGAAUAAAAAAGUGUGGCAGCUAAAGGACACAGUGUGGAGAGUGCGUAACUCAAGGUCAAGGAGUUCCUGUUCAGGAGGCUAAAACGGUGGCUGGGGAGACGUUGGGCCUGCUUGCAGUCAUGAAGAUGGAAGGCAGGAACACCUCUGGGCAUGCUCACAUUACUAAGUUUUAGCUGAAAUCAGGAAAGGGCAGCUUAGCAGUGAACUAAUGUAGGAGACUGUUCCGAAAGGCACCUGCCUCGCUUAGUCGCUAGCAAAGGAACUGUAGGCAGUCACAACAACAAAGCAAAGUGUCUUUUCCCAGGGUAAAGUGUCUGUUGGCUGCAUUCCUCGAUUCAGUUAGCCCAUCACUUGGGAAGUAAAUGCUGUCAAAGCUCUCUGGAAAUAGAGGAACAAGAAUGGGGAGUACUUAGUACCUCACCUGGGUGGGACAUCACAUGGUAGCAGUGUCUGUGACCUUUGGAGGAACCAAUUUCCUGCUUAGCCCCACCUUCACCCAACUGCCUAUUAUCUCUUUUGUCUGUAUGAUGUCUUUAAUUUGUGUAUGUGUGCAUGUAUGUGCAUAUUUGUGCACAUGUGCAUGUGUGUGUUGAAUGCCCAUGAGUGUGCAUGUACAUGUUUAUGCAUGCACGAAUGUGCGCAUGCAUCUGUGGGCAUGCAUGUGUUGAAGGCCCAUGAGUGUAUGUAUACUCAGAGGCCAGAACAAGGUGUCAGGUGCCUUUCUGGAAAACUUCCCACAUUAUUCAAGGUCUCUCACUGAACUGAACAAGACAGUGAAGCUCACUGCCUUAGUUAGGGCUUCAUUGCUGUGAAGAGACACUAGGACCAAGGCAACUCUUAUAAGGAAAACAUUGAAUUAGGACUGGUUUGUACUUUCAGAGGUAUGGUCCAUUAUAUUAAUGGCAGGAAGCAUGGCAGCAUGCAGGACGUCAGAGUGCUGGAGAAGAAGCCCCACGAUCCUCAGGCAGCAGGAGGGGACUAUGUUACUCUGACCAGACUUGAGCAUAUAUCAUAUCUCAAAGCUCACCUCCCCAGGGACACAUCUCUUCCAACAAGGCCACACCUACUCCAACAAGACCAUGCCUCCCAAUAGUGCCACUCCCUAUGGGACAAUGAGGGCCAAUUACAUUCAAACCACCACACAUUUUCAACUAAACUGUCAGCCAGCUAGCCACAGCAAUCUACCUGGCUCUGUAUCUCCCAGGCUGGAGUUACAGGUAUACAUGGACCAAACUCGAGCUUGUCAAGUGGCUGCUGAGAUCCAAACUCUGGUCCUCCUGUCUGCCCAGCAAGUACUUUUACAACGGAGCCAUCUCUCCAUCCCUUUUUGAACACUGAUAUAGAGUUCUCUCCUUAAACUCAACAACUCAACCCUGCCUGUUAUGACAGAGUAGAGGUUUCUAUUUCUUGGCUUACAAAGCUCUGGGGUUUCCCUGAGCUGCAAUCAUCCAAUGCAUGAUGAGGCUCCAUUAGGCAAAGGAGUUGCUGUUUAGAGACUGACCCAAGGUUCCAUUGUCAAGCCGCAGAGAAUUCCCAAGGAACAGGGAAGACUUAAAUCCAAGCGAAUGGUUCUACCUUGGUUAUGUAGGGAUAUUCCAUAUGCAUUUGGCUAUUCCAAAGUAAGGAUGGUAAUCCAGAAAGCAUCAAGAUCAAGCCCCAUCUGGCUGUGAACCUGCCAUGGUCCCGGGGCCAUCUCCCUUGGCUCCAGGCUGCAGAGUCCCCAGCCUCAGACUGAAAAUCAGUACCUGUUACUAUUUCUCUUUGGAAAGCGGAAAGGGCUUUAUCACUUAAUAGCCUCGCUCUAUCUGACUGCCUGAGCUUGUCUUCCACCCGAACACUGAGCCACAGGAGGGUGGAUAGGAGGAAGCCAGGCGGCUUUGAUGUGUGAGCGUUGCCGUAUCCUAACUCCUGGGGGGCGGGGUAUCAGAGAUCAUCACUGAUAAUUCACAUACACUGAAUCUCUGUGGACUAUCAUUCCUGAGACACAGGAAUGGAAAGGAAGGUAUAACUUCAGAAGGAAGACAUAAUACUCCCACAGUGCUCUCUAGUGAGUCCUCUUCGCCCCCACGCCAUCCUGCUAGUGGCUUAUUUCUUGGCUGUGGUCCAGCCUCUCUUUGGGAGAGGGGACAGUUUGUGUGGCUUCAUGGAUGUUACGGUGGUCCAGAGGUAAGAGAGGGAGGGGCUGGCAGAACCCUGUGAGCAGAGACUGCACAGGGGACUUUUCAAAUUAUUAUUUAAUUUUAUUUGUGUGUGUGCACUUACAUGUCUGGUGUCUAUGCACAUGGGGGGAGCAGGUACCCACACUUGGCACAGAGGCCAGUGGAGGACAUCUGGUGUCCUGUUCCACCACUCUCCAACUUGCUCCUGUGAGGCUGAGUCUUCUCUGAGCCUGGAGCUAAGGUGGAGGCCAGAAAAGCUCAGCCAUUCUCCCGUCUACCGACAAUACUGUAAGCCAUAGCACUUGUCAUGAUUUGAAUCUGCUUGGCCCAGGGAGUGGCACUAUUAGGAGGUGUGUCCUUGUUGGAGUAGGUGUGCCACUGUGAGUUCAGGCUUUAAGAUCCUCAUCCUAGCUGCCUGGAAGUCAGUUUUCCACUAGCAGCCUUCAGAUGAGGAUGUAGAACUCUAAGCUCCUCCUGCACCAUGCCUGCCUGGAUGCUGCCAUGUUCCUGCCUUGAUGACAAUGGACUGAACCUCUGAACCUGUAAGCCAGCCCCAACUAAAUGUUGUUCUUUAUAAAACUAUCCUUGGUUAUGGUGUCCGUACACAGCAGUAACACCCUAGCUAAGACAGCAGUGUAUGGCUUUCCUGUGGGACCAAUGAUCAACUGAAAAAAAGACACAUGUCACUUUGAACAAGUCAAUUAGGUGUCCUUCAGUUUCCUCACCCACAAAAAAAGGCUGCCAAUGACAGCCCACCACACUAUUCUAAUGGUAGGGUUGAUAUUUCUGAGCUCUACCUGUUUAGGGUCUGGAAAAUUCUCCACAGAUGAGGAGCACCCCAUCAAUCCUCAGCAGAACGUCAAGGCAUUCCCUCAUUUAAAAACAAACAAGCAAGCAAACAAACCAACCAACCAACCAUAGGCAUCAGCUGGAAAGUUUACGCAGUUAAGAGUGCUGGCUGCUCUUCCAGAGGGCUGGGGUUCAAGUUUCAGCACACAACUGCCUGUAAGUCCAGUUUCAAGGGAUCCAGCAUCUUCUUCCCGCCUCCUUGGGUACCACAUACAUGUGGGGCACAGAGGACACACAUGCAUGCAACACACUCACACACAUAAAAUAAAAAUGAAUCUGAAAAGCUAUAAAAUUGCAUGUAAUUUUAUUUUAUACAUUUUCUUCCAGGGCCCAGCAUCAAACCCAAGGCCUUGGACAUGCCUAGCACUACCAAAGUCCCCCCAUUUCAGAACUUCCCGCUGGAGUCGGAAGUUUCUCAUGGCUAAGCAGUUCAUUGCUGUACAAGUGUCUUAGUUGGGGUUUUACUGCUGUGAAGAGACACCAUGACCAAGGUAACUCUUAAAAGAACAACAUUUAAUUGGGGCUGGCUUACAGGUUCAGACAUUCAGUCCAUUAUCAUCAAGGCAGGGGCAUGGCAGCAUCCAGGCAGGCAUGGUACAGGAGGAGCUGAGAGUUCUACAUCUUCAUCUGAAGGCUGCUAGUGGAAAACUGACUUCCAAGCAGCUAGGAUGAGGAUCUUAAAGCCUGAACCCACAGUGGCACACCUACCCCAACAAGGACACACCUACUCCAACAUGGCCACACCCUCUAAUAACGCCACUACCUGGGCUGAGCAUAUAUAAACCAUCACAACAAGCAAAAUCCAAGUCACAGUCCCUGGCCUUGUACAUCAGUAUUGAAUAGGCACCUUUGUUUAAAAUUUAGAGAAUAAACAUGAGUGUGGCCAGAGAGGAUAAGGCUAAUUUUCAAAAGGAUACCAUUAGGAGGUUCUGGGCUCAGAGGUUAUGAUUGGGUGGAAAGGAGGGCCCAGAACCGAACCUGGCUAUGCACACACUGGCUCUCCAUCUUGGGAGUCUGGAAACCUUCUGGUUGGGCAGUGGUGUCAGUAGUUCCAGCUCCUUCCCAGUGUCACAAGCCAAUAAGGCCAGGUCUGCGCCAGACAUUUGCUUCCUCAGAUGAACCAGUGAGGCAGAAAAUGCAGAUAAUAAAGAGAGCUAAUGGCGGGCUUCCCCAGCUGCUGGAGUUGGCCCCUGGGGAGGGAGGAGUCAAUGAGCUCUUGAGCUGGGAGUCUCAAUCUCUUCAUCUUUACACUCUUGCACAGACCCCUUCCUGGGCUGGGCAAGGGCAAGCCGUGCAGUGAAGUGAAGCUCGCCAGGCUCUGGGAAUAUCUGUAGGUCUGUGAUGGGGGUGGGGCAGGGGAACUUGCUUCUCUUGAAAUAGACAGCAUAGCAUCUCCAGCUGCUUCCCAGGAGGAACCUCUUCAAGUAUCUCACCAUGGAGGUACUGAAUACGCAGGAGGGUCCUGCUCUGAACCUCAUGGACAAUAACAGCAGUAAUAGGAACUCACCCCGAGGAAGGGAAUGUGUGUCAAGUACUAGCCCAAGUGUAUUGCCUACGAUACCCCAGUUAGACCAAAGCAAUCUCUUUUAAAAAACGAAUAAAUUCUUUCAGAUUUAUUGGUUUUAGUUUAUGUAUAAAGGCAUUUUAUCUGCGUGUGUGUGUGUGUGUGUGUGUGUGUGAGAGAGAGAGAGAGAGAGAGAGAGAGAGAGAGAGAGAGAUGCCCAGCAAGGUCAGAAGAAGGCAUUAGAUAGCCUAGAGAUGGAGAUUUAGACAUCUGUGAGUUGCCAUGUGGGUGCUAAUAAUGGAAGCAAGGUCCUCUAGAAGAGCAGACAACAGCCUACAACAGUCUCCAUCCCCUACAACAGCCUUUUAGCCAUGGUCCUGUUAGCACUCCCAUUUCAUGGCUGAGAAGACUAAGCUCAAAAGUGAUUCUGUGUCCCAGACUGGGGACGUGGCUUAGUGGUAGAGUACUUGACUAGCAUACACAAAGUCCUGGGUUCAAACCCACUGCUGUAUGAACUAAGUAUAGUUGUGCACACCAGAACUUGGGCCUGGAGGCCCGAGUUCAAGGUCAUCCUCAGCUACACAGUAAGUUGAAGGACGUCCUGGAAUACUUAGACUUUAAGACCUGUAUUGUUUCUAUGGGCCAAACACUCAGUGGGAUUGGGAAUCUCACCUGCCUCCAGUCUGUGACCAGACUGCCUCCCUCAUCACACUCGUGAAACCGUUAUCCAUUUCCUUCACAGUCUUCAGUAUUUGGUCAAUCUUGUUCUGAGGAUGCCGGUGUAGCUCAGCGGAGAUCAUUUGCAUAGGAUAAACCAGGCCCUUGGUUCCACCCUCAAUACAGCAACAAAGAAAAAUAGUUGUCAGUAUGGCAGGAAAGUGAUCAUUAAACUAAGUCUCUGUUACUUCCUUGCCAGGGGAAUUUGGCCUUUACCAGAGAAACCUUGGGCUGAGCGUCCUUCUAACAGUGAGUGACUGUCUCCGUUUGGGUUUUAUUGUGAAGAGACACCAUGGCCAAGGCAACUCUUAUAAAGGCAAACAUUUAAUUGGGACUGGCUUAUAGUUCAGAGGUUUAGUCCAUUAUCAUUGUGGUGGGAAGCAUGGCAGCAUGUAGGCAGACAUGGUGCUGGAAUGGCCAAGAGUUCUGCAUCUUGAUCCAAAGGCAGCCAGGAGAGGACUGUCUUCUGUAGGCACUUAGGAGGGAACUGGGUGGAACUUGAACAUUAGGAGACCUCAAAGCCCACCCACACAGUGAUACACUUCCUCCAACAAGGCCACAUCUCUGAAUACUGCCACUUCCUAUGAGCCAAACAUACUUGAAUCACCAUGGUGACAUUCUUGAGUGAGUUGUCCACUCAACCUUUACUUCUCUUGCAAGUGAUUGUGAGUCAGGUCAGUGUUGUUUGAUCUAAUCCACACAACAUUCAGUAUUAAUAGGUUUUCCUGUGCCUUGGAUGUGACUCAGUGGUAGAAAGCCUGCCCAGCAUAAAGCCUCAAGUCCCAUCUCCAUUAUUUCAGAGAGAUUAUUUUAAAUGCUCCUACUUGUCACUGUAUUCCAUCAAUUAAGAAUUUAGUCAUCCAUAAUUCAAGUUCACCAAAAUCUCCCACCUCCUGAGAUCAACUCCGAGACUCACUACAAGAUUGAUGGUUUAGGAUUCACAAAAAGUGACCC
rnacentral:lncRNA from 1 species